rnacentral:lncRNA from 1 species
ACUUAGCCAUCAGGUCAUCUUCUCGAGCCAAGGCCCAAUAGAAUGACCCUCUCCACCAUCACUAAAGGCAAUGCAGAUGGCCAAACCCGCACAUACUUUAAGUCAUCAUGUAUUUAAAUCAAUCAUGUAUUUUGUUUCACAUGUUCAUAUUCAUAUCAGAUAGCAAAUAAAUCACAUUUUAAAUUCAUGCAUUGAGAUAAUCCAAAAUCUUAAAUUAAUUAUCUAGAAAAUCCACUUAGAAAUGUAUGAGAAAAUACUUAAGAAAUCCCUUACCAAAAAAUUUAAUCUUCUUUGAGAUUUGUUUGUUUUCCGGAAGAGAAAAAAGGUUGUUUGGUAGAGUUCUUGCGUUAAGUAGCUUUUUUAAAAUUGAAGUGAAUAAAGAGUUUAAGGGUGAGUUUUUUUAAAGUUAUAGUGUGAAAGAAAACCAAUGAGGAAAGAAGCAGAAUUAUCAUGUGAACAUCGAAGGUCUUUUGGUCUCUU